GAUGAACGCUGGCGGCGUGCCUAAUACAUGCAAGUCGAGCGAACAGACGAGGAGCUUGCUCCUCUGAUGUUAGCGGCGGACGGGUGAGUAACACGUGGAUAACCUACCUAUAAGACUGGUAUAACUUCGGGAAACCGGAUCUAAUUCCAGAUGACAUGGGGAACCGCAUGGUUCAACAGUGAAAGACGGUGUUUGUGUCAGUUAUAGAUGGAUCCGCGCCUCAUUAGGUAGUUGGUCAGGUAACGGCUUACCAAGGCAACGAUGCGUAGACGACCGGAGAGGCUGAUAGGCCGCCCUGGAACUGAGCCAGCGUCCAGGCUCCUGCGGGAGGGAGCAGUAGGCAAUGUUACGCAACAGGCGAAAGCAUGACGGAGCAACGCAGCGCGAGAGACGAAGGCCUUCGGAUAGUAAUAAUCUGUUACUAGGGAAGAACCAAUGUCUACGGAACUAUGGCGGUCUUGACGGUACCUACUCAAAAAGCAACGGCUAACUACGUG
rnacentral:rRNA from 1 species